UGGGGAAUUUUGGACAAUGGGCGAAAGCCUGAUCCAGCAAUGCCGCGUGUGUGAAGAAGGCCUUCGGGUUGUAAAGCACUUUUGUCCGGAAAGAAAUCCUUGGCUCUAAUACAGUCGGGGGAUGACGGUACCGGAAGAAUAAGCACCGGCUAACUACGUGCCAGCAGCCGCGGUAAUACGUAGGGUGCAAGCGUUAAUCGGAAUUACUGGGCGUAAAGCGUGCGCAGGCGGUUUGCUAAGACCGAUGUGAAAUCCCCGGGCUCAACCUGGGAACUGCAUUGGUGACUGGCAGGCUAGAGUAUGGCAGAGGGGGGUAGAAUUCCACGUGUAGCAGUGAAAUGCGUAGAGAUGUGGAGGAAUACCGAUGGCGAAGGCAGCCCCCUGGGCCAAUACUGACGCUCAUGCACGAAAGCGUGGGGAGCAAACAGGAUUAGAUACCCUGGUAGUCCACGCCCUAAAACGAUGUCAACUAGUUGUUGGGGAUUCAUUUCCUUAGUAACGUAGCUAACGCGUGAAGUUGACCGCCUGGGGGAGUACGGUCGCAAGAUUAAAAACUCAAAGGAA
rnacentral:rRNA from 1 species